rnacentral:tRNA from 1 species
GCGUGAGUCGCCCAGCAUGGUCAAAGGCGCAGCGUUGAGGUCGCUGUCCCGUAGGGGUUCCCAGGUUCAAAUCCUGGCUCACGCA